rnacentral:rRNA from 1 species
CCUACGGGUGGCAGCAGUGGGGAAUAGUGGGCAAUGGGCGCAAGCCUGACCCAGCAACGCCGCGUGAAGGAAGAAGGCUUUCGGGUUGUAAACUUCUGUUAAGAGGGAAGAGCAGAAGACGGUACCUCUGGAAUAAGCCACGGCUAACGACGUGCCAGCAGCCGCGGUAAUACGUAGGUGGCAAGCGUUGUCCGGAUUUACUGGGUGUAAAGGGCGUGCAGCCGGGAAGACCAGUCAGAUGGGAAAUCCCGCGGCUCAACCGCGGAACUGCCUUUGAAACUGUUUUUCUUGAGUACCGGAGCGGUCAUCUGCCUUCCUUGUGUAUCGGUGAACUGCGUCGAUCUCAGGCAGAACACCAGUGGC